rfam:Triticum urartu cultivar G1812 contig798098, whole genome shotgun sequence.
CUAGUACUCCCUCCGUCCAAAAAAGCUUGUCCCUCAAAUUGAUGUUUCUAGCACCAAGUUAGUGCUAGAUACAUCCAUUUGAGGGACAAGCCUUUACGGACGGAGGGAGUAUGGU